UGAAGAAAAGAAGAUACUGUAGCAGAAACCGAAUCUGCAGAUCAGUCAUGGCAUAUAUUGGUGGACAAUGGGUUCUGUUUCUCAUUUUAGCAGGUUAUAGUUCUGGAGAAGGAAUAGAACCAGUGUCUUCUACUGUAAACGUCCUACAAGGAAAUCCUGUUACCCUCUCCUGCCGGUACAAUGGAUCGUCUACAACUGAUUAUCUGCUGUGGUAUCGUCAGUAUUCCAGAUCCAGACCACAGUUUCUAUACUUGGUUGAUGAAGCUAAAUUUGAACAAAAAGCUGAACCACCAGUACCAGGAAUGUCUGCAGUAGUAAAUGAGGACAAAAAUUGUGUGGAUCUGAAAAUCUCCUCUGCUGCAGUAUCAGACUCUGCACUGUACUACUGUGCCCUGCAGCCCACAGUGACAGGAAAACAUCAUUCACUGUACAAAAACCUGUAGAAAUAAACUUCAUUGUGGAUGUCUCUGGAGAUGUGAAUAGAUAGAUGUGUAUGCUUUACUUUAAUGCAAGAAGAAAUGUAAAGCCAUUGAAUGAAGAGAACUAAAGUUUUUCUAAAAAACCAAAAACAAAACUUGUUUGUCAAAUCUCAAUGUAGACAUAAUACA